rnacentral:rRNA from 1 species
GCCCUUUCGGGGGUACACGAGUGGCGAACGGGUGAGUAACACGUGGGUAAUCUGCCCUGCACUUCGGGAUAAGCCUGGGAAACCGGGUCUAAUACCGGAUAUGAGCUCCUGCCGCAUGGUGGGGGUUGGAAAGUUUUUCGGUGCAGGAUGAGUCCGCGGCCUAUCAGCUUGUUGGUGGGGUAAUGGCCUACCAAGGCGACGACGGGUAGCCGGCCUGAGAGGGUGAUCGGCCACACUGGGACUGAGACACGGCCCAGACUCCUACGGGAGGCAGCAGUGGGGAAUAUUGCACAAUGGGCGAAAGCCUGAUGCAGCGACGCCGCGUGGGGGAUGACGGUCUUCGGAUUGUAAACUCCUUUCAGUAGGGACGAAGCGAAAGUGACGGUACCUGCAGAAGAAGCACCGGCCAACUACGUGCCAGCAGCCGCGGUAAUACGUAGGGUGCAAGCGUUGUCCGGAAUUACUGGGCGUAAAGAGCUCGUAGGCGGUUUGUCACGUCGUCUGUGAAAUCCUCCAGCUCAACUGGGGGCGUGCAGGCGAUACGGGCAGACUUGAGUACUACAGGGGAGACUGGAAUUCCUGGUGUAGCGGUGAAAUGCGCAGAUAUCAGGAGGAACACCGGUGGCGAAGGCGGGUCUCUGGGUAGUAACUGACGCUGAGGAGCGAAAGCAUGGGGAGCAAACAGGAUUAGAUACCCUGGUAGUCCAUGCCGUAAACGGUGGGCGCUAGGUGUGGGGUCC